rnacentral:lncRNA from 13 species
AAGGAAUACAAUCUAAGGAUCAGGCUGCCCUGAUUGUUUUAGUUUCAAGCUGAUGUAUGAAUAUCAGCCAGAAGUAAACAAGAAAACCUGGUUCUGUCACCCGCUGAAACCCCUCCAGAAGUCAUUAGCUUCUCAGUAAUCUGCCUCCACAGGGCCAGGUUUCAGUUGUUGAUGCACACUCACGGGAUUGAGUGCUUAAUUCUACUUGGCUGCUCAAGGUGGAAGCCAUUCAUCGUAUUCUGCCAUUUGUAACAAAUAAUUAGAAGCAUCUGUUUCCCCAAAAGUUUAUAAAAGACUUUGCUGUAAAAACAGUCUUAGUCAUCUUUUUUUUUUUUUUCAUUCCCUUAGUACCUAGCAUGAAAACCAAUAAAUGUUUGCUGAAUUCAGUUGAAAAAAAAAAA